rnacentral:rRNA from 1 species
AAGUCGUGUACACACAUGAACGAGCACGAUCGAUUGCCAUAUGCACUCUACUUGAUUUGAUGUAAUACGUAGCUAGCAAAUUCACGUGUAGUAGAAUAUAUUCCCUACCUUCGCAAUCUGUAACGGAAAGAAAGUAACAGGGAACCUUCACUUUGAUCAAGCCAUAUCGCUAUGGCAAAUAUAGGUAUAUUUUCUCCUCCCUUGGGAUGCAACUACACCCCACCAUACUCCUACACUUCUUUACUUUAAUUUAUA